CACGGUCAAAUGUAGUAACAGAAGGCAAACGGCUUUUCAGGUGAAAGACGACCGAUGUAAAAGGAGUUGUACUUCCUUGGGUUUCAAUCCCUAAAACUGCCCUUUGAUGCCCUUACACGGACGCUUCUUGCAUGGUGGGUGAGAUUGUGCCUUAACCCAUUUCAUGUGUGAGGACAAAGCAAUUUAGAUGGCACCCUACAACGAAUUUGUACGAGGGGCGAAUACUUUUAUUAUGACAA
rnacentral:sRNA from 12 species